rnacentral:misc_RNA from 1 species
AAAAAAGAAGCAUGUUUCAGAGGUAAAUAAAGAUGGAAAUAACGUUAAUCAAAUUUGAUAUUAUCAUCAGAAUUUGCAACAAAAUGGAAAUUGCAAAAAAGAAAACAAACCAAUCCAAGAAAAAAAUGGAAAUAUAACAAUUGCAUUGAAGUUCCAGGCCACCAUAUCAGAAUUCCAAUAAAAAUUACUCGAAAAGAAAACCCUGAACCUAUAGAUCUUCA